rnacentral:rRNA from 1 species
CUACAGGCUUAACACAUGCAAGUCGAGGGGCAGCAUGGUCUUAGCUUGCUAAGGCCGAUGGCGACCGGCGCACGGGUGAGUAACACGUAUCCAACCUGCCGUCUACUCUUGGACAGCCUUCUGAAAGGAAGAUUAAUACAAGAUGGCAUCAUGAGUCCGCAUGUUCACAUGAUUAAAGGUAUUCCGGUAGACGAUGGGGAUGCGUUCCAUUAGAUAGUAGGCGGGGUAACGGCCCACCUAGUCUUCGAUGGAUAGGGGUUCUGAGAGGAAGGUCCCCCACAUUGGAACUGAGACACGGUCCAAACUCCUACGGGAGGCAGCAGUGAGGAAUAUUGGUCAAUGGGCGAGAGCCUGAACCAGCCAAGUAGCGUGAAGGAUGACUGCCCUAUGGGUUGUAAACUUCUUUUAUAAAGGAAUAAAGUCGGGUAUGCAUACCCGUUUGCAUGUACUUUAUGAAUAAGGAUCGGCUAACUCCGUGCCAGCAGCCGCGGUAAUACGGAGGAUCCGAGCGUUAUCCGGAUUUAUUGGGUUUAAAGGGAGCGUAGAUGGAUGUUUAAGUCAGUUGUGAAAGUUUGCGGCUCAACCGUAAAAUUGCAGUUGAUACUGGAUAUCUUGAGUGCAGUUGAGGCAGGCGGAAUUCGUGGUGUAGCGGUGAAAUGCUUAGAUAUCACGAAGAACUCCGAUUGCGAAGGCAGCCUGCUAAGCUGCAACUGACAUUGAGGCUCGAAAGUGUGGGUAUCAAACAGGAUUAGAUACCCUGGUAGUCCACACGGUAAACGAUGAAUACUCGCUGUUUGCGAUAUACGGCAAGCGGCCAAGCGAAAGCGUUAAGUAUUCCACCUGGGGAGUACGCCGGCAACGGUGAAACUCAAAGGAAUUGACGGGGGCCCGCACAAGCGGAGGAACAUGUGGUUUAAUUCGAUGAUACGCGAGGAACCUUACCCGGGCUUAAAUUGCAGAUGAAUUACGGUGAAAGCCGUAAGCCGCAAGGCAUCUGUGAAGGUGCUGCAUGGUUGUCGUCAGCUCGUGCCGUGAGGUGUCGGCUUAAGUGCCAUAACGAGCGCAACCCUUGUUGUCAGUUACUAACAGGUUCCGCUGAGGACUCUGACAAGACUGCCAUCGUAAGAUGUGAGGAAGGUGGGGAUGACGUCAAAUCAGCACGGCCCUUACGUCCGGGGCUACACACGUGUUACAAUGGGGGGUACAGAGGGCCGCUACCACGCGAGUGGAUGCCAAUCCCCAAAACCUCUCUCAGUUCGGACUGGAGUCUGCAACCCGACUCCACGAAGCUGGAUUCGCUAGUAAUCGCGCAUCAGCCACGGCGCGGUGAAUACGUUCCCGGGCCUUGUACACACCGCCCGUCAAGCCAUGGGAGCCGGGGGUACCUGAAGUGCGUAACCGCGAGGAGCGCCCUAGGGUAAAACUGGUGACUGGGGCUAAGAC